rnacentral:lncRNA from 1 species
AGGAGCAUAGAACUAGUAGUAGUAGUACGAAGGAACUAGGGGAUAGAGGUGACAAGAAGCAAGCGAUUCAUUCAUACGGGCGGCACGGGCGGUUGCUCCUGCUUCUGGUCCUUGGAGUCGGGGAGGAGGUCGAGGUCGGCGGGCUUAGCGGCGGCGGCGUCGUCAUGGCGGGGCGCGGAGGAGAGGAUUAGGGGUCGGUCCUUGGCCUCCUCGUCGUCGUCGCGGUCGUCGUCGUCGUCGGUGGAGAGGUUGAUGCAGGAGCAGCGCUCAAGGGAGGCGAAGAAGGCGGAGGCGACGCUGGUGCCGACCCAGGUGGCCCAGCUCUCCAUGGCCGCCGGCGAUCUGCUUGCUAGGGUUCGGCCGCGGUGGGGAGGAGACCGGAGAAGGGGAGGAGGAGG